rnacentral:rRNA from 1 species
GACGAACGCUGGCGGCGUGCUUAACACAUGCGAGUCGAACGCUGAAGCUCAGCUUUUGUUGGGUGGAUGAGUGGCGAACGGGUGAGUAACACGUGAGUAACCUGCCCCCUUCUUUGGGAUAACGCCCGGAAACGGGUGCUAAUACUGGAUAUUCACUGGUCUUCGCAUGGGGGUUGGUGGAAAGGGUUUUUCUGGUGGGGGAUGGGCUCGCGGCCUAUCAGCUUGUUGGUGGGGUGAUGGCCUACCAAGGCUUUGACGGGUAGCCGGCCUGAGAGGGUGACCGGUCACAUUGGGACGGAGAUACGGCCCAGACUCCUACGGGAGGCAGCAGUGGGGAAUAUUGCACAAUGGGCGCAAGCCUGAUGCAGCGACGCCGCGUGAGGGAUGGAGGCCUUCGGGUUGUGAACCUCUUUCGCUCAUGGUCAAGCCGCAACAAUGGUUGUGGUGAGGGUAGUGGGUAAAGAAGCGCCGGCUAACUACGUG